rnacentral:misc_RNA from 1 species
GAUGAAGAACGUAGCGAAAUGCGAUAAGUAAUGUGAAUUGCAGAAUUCAGUGAAUCAUCGAAUCUUUGAACGCACCUUGCACCCUUUGGCAUUCCGAAGGGUAUGCUCGUUUGAGUGUCAUUGUACUCUCACUCUCCCGAUGCUUUUGGAUCGGGAGUGGUGGACUUGGGUGUUGCUGCUUUGCUGUGGCUCGCCUCAAAUGGAGUAGUGCAACUCUUGGUUGGACAUAGUACGGCGUGAUAAGUGUCUUCGCCGGCGCCUCAUUAUAGAGGGUGGCCGAUCGUGAGCUCUGUGCUUCAAACCGUCUUCGGACAACAUCUGACAACUUGACCUCAAAUCGAGUAGGACUACCCGCUGAACUUAAGCAUAUCAAUAAGCGGAGGA